GAUGAACGCUGGCGGCGUGCCUAAUACAUGCAAGUCGAGCGAACGGACGAGAAGCUUGCUUCUCUGAUGUUAGCGGCGGACGGGUGAGUAACACGUGGAUAACCUACCUAUAAGACUGGGAUAACUUCGGGAAACCGGAGCUAAUACCGGAUAAUAUUUUGAACCGCAUGGUUCAAAAGUGAAAGACGGUCUUGCUGUCACUUAUAGAUGGAUCCGCGCUGCAUUAGCUAGUUGGUAAGGUAACGGCUUACCAAGGCAACGAGGCAUAGCCGACUGCAGAGGGUGAUCGGCCACACUGGAGCUGAGACACGGUCCAGACUCCUACGGGAGGCAGCAGUAGGGAAUCUUCCGCAAUGGUCGAAAGCCUGACGGAGCAACGCCGCGUGAGUGAUGAAGGUCUUCGGAUCGUAAAACUCUGUUAUUAGGGAAGAACAUAUGUGUAAGUAACUGUGCACAGCUUGACGGUACCUAAUCAGAAAGCCACGGCUAACUACGUG
rnacentral:rRNA from 1 species